CACAACCCCCACACACACUGCAGGGCUGCAUUUGCUGCUCCCCAGGGCAGCCUGGAGCCAGCAGCUUCAAAGGAGCACAUCAAAGCUCCGUGCACAGCACAGAGCAGCCCGGGAAGCAGGGUGGCAUCUCUCCUCUCCCUGGCGAAUGUGGAACCUCAGGGGGCUUCCCAAAGGACACGUAUGUCCCUAUGUCUUGCCUUGAACUUUUCCUGUCUUAUGAGACAGACUGCAGCUGCGCACCCAAAGGCUGUGACAAGUGAAGCAAGCACACAACCCUGUGAAAAGCCACACCGUCAGGGAGGAGGAAGACAGAGAAGAGGAGUCAGCCUGGCAUGGUGAAAUGAUUUGUUCAGGAACAAGAUCUACAGUCAGACUUAGAGAAUGACCCAGAAUGACUCUCAGUUCCAAAGGAGGAGUUUGGCACUUCCAAGAAUGACUCCUAAACACAGCAAGUGUGUGAUCCCUCUGUACCUGUAAUUAUUGAAUAGUUCUUUACACAGAUCCCAUGGGUCAGGCUAAGAAUCAAAGUGUCUUAGUUUUGUUAUUGAGAACAUCUUUCCAACAUCACUGUCUAAAAAAAAUACCAAAGCAAACAUUACAAGAAGUCAAAUCAUUUGCCUUCCUGCAAACAGAUUAGCCAAGCACUGAUAAUACUGUCAACUCUGGGUGUCUGUGUUAAAAAGAAAACAAAAACAAUAAACAAGAACCCAAACAAAACCA
rnacentral:lncRNA from 1 species